CCCUUAGAUGUCCUGGGCUGCACGCGCGCUACACUGAAGUUACGGAUUGAGAUACUACCUUGUCCGAAAUGGUCCGGGUAAUCACCUAAAAGCUUGUCAUAAUUGGAAUGGAUUAUUGUAACUAGUAAUCCUGAACGAGGAAUUCCUAGUAAGUCCCAGUCAACAGCUGGUACUGAUUACGUCCCUGCCCUUUGUACACACCGCCCGUCGCUACUACUGAUUGGACGUUUAAGCAAGAUUUUUAAACACUGACAGUGUGUAGUUCACGCUAUACUACAGUGAGAAGAAGAAGAUCGAGCUUACUUGUCUAGAGGAAGUAAAAGUCGUAACA
rnacentral:rRNA from 1 species